rnacentral:rRNA from 1 species
UACAGAGGGCUCAAGCGUUGUUCGGAUUCAUUGGGCGUAAAGGGUGCGUAGGCGGUGUCGUAAGUCAGGUGUGAAAUCUCGGGGCUCAACCCCGAAACUGCACUUGAUACUGCGGUGCUCGAGUACUGGAGAGGAGAUUGGAAUUUACGGUGUAGCAGUGAAAUGCGUAGAUAUCGUAAGGAAGACCAGUGGCGAAGGCGAAUCUCUGGACAGUUACUGACACUGAGGCACGAAGGCCAGGGGAGCAAACGGG